UACGUAGGGGGCAAGCGUUGUCCGGAAUCAUUGGGCGUAAAGCGCGUGUAGGCGGGACGGCAAGUCGGUCGUGAAAGGCUUCGGCUCAACCGGAGAUGGCCGAUCGAAACUGCCGUUCUUGAGGGUCGAAGAGGAGAGUGGAAUUCCUGGUGUAGCGGUGAAAUGCGUAGAGAUCAGGAGGAACACCCAUGGCGAAGGCAGCUCUCUGGUCGACCUCUGACGCUGAGACGCGAAAGCGUGGGGAGCGAACGGG
rnacentral:rRNA from 1 species